AUUGAACGCUGGCGGCAGGCCUAACACAUGCAAGUCGAGCGAGCGGCGGACGGGUGCGUAAUGCCUGGGAAUUGCCCAGUCGAGGGGGAUAACAGUUGGCACCGACUGCUAAUUCCGCAUACGGCUGUCUUGCUCAGGGGGGGUUAGCUAGUUGGUGGGGUAAUGGCUCACCAAGGCGACGAUCCCUAGCUGGUCUGAGAGGAUGAUCAGCCACACUGGAACUGAGACACGGUCCAGACUCCUACGGGAGGCAGCAGUGGGGAAUAUUGCACAAUGGGCGAAACCCUGAUGCAGCCAGGCCGCGUGUGUGAAGAAGGCCUUCGGGUUGUAAAGCACUGUCAGCGAGGAGGCGGUACUCGAAGAAGAAGCACCGGCUAACUCCGUGCCAGCAGCCGCGGUAAUUC
rnacentral:rRNA from 1 species